rnacentral:rRNA from 1 species
GACGAACGCUGGCGGCGUGCCUAAUACAUGCAAGUAGAACGCACAGUUUAUACCGUAGCUUGCUCCACCAUAGACUGUGAGUUGCGAACGGGUGAGUAACGCGUAGGUAACCUGCCUGGUAGCGGGGGAUAACUAUUGGAAACGAUAGCUAAUACCGCAUAAUAUUAAUUAUUGCAUGAUAAUUAAUUGAAAGGUGCAAUUGCACCACUACCAGAUGGACCUGCGUUGUAUUAGCUAGUAGGUGAGGUAACGGCUCACCUAGGCGACGAUACAUAGCCGACCUGAGAGGGUGAUCGGCCACACUGGGACUGAGACACGGCCCAGACUCCUACGGGAGGCAGCAGUAGGGAAUCUUCGGUAAUGGACGAAAGUCUGACCGAGCAACGCCGCGUGAGUGAAGAAGGUUUUCGGAUCGUAAAGCUCUGUUGUAAGAGAAGAACGGGUGUGAGAGUGGAAAGUUCACACUGUGACGGUAUCUUACCAGAAAGGGACGGCUAACUACGUG